GGAAGGGAAACGAUCCUGGUGGAUCGGCCGGGCUUCAAACCCGGUGGGCGACGCCACGCGUUGCCGGGUGGGUUCGACUCCCAUUCCCUUCCGCCA
rnacentral:tRNA from 1 species